GGAGGUUUCUAAAUCAACUAGAUGGAGAAUAUGAACAAGUGCAACAUUUAUCUACACAAGACAAUAUUAAAAAAAAAAUCUUUUAAUUGUUAUUUUAUAGUUCCCCACCGCAGCUGCCCCCCAUCCUUCCCUUUGAUGACGACAUUUACAGGCUUCAGGGGGACCAGGGAACAGAGGUGGGGCCUGGCAGCCUGACUACGCUGCCAGUCAGGGAAAACAAGUCACAAAUACAAAUUAUCACAACAAUUAGCAAGCGUACUUGGGGGAUGUGGAAAUUGAGGAGGCCCCAGCUCCUCAUUGUACAGGGGUCUAUUUGGCAGUGACCUUGCUCUCGAGAUGAUGAUAUUCCUUCAGCCUGAGGGCAUUAAUGUUGAUGAACUUGGUGGCAUUGAUUGGCUCCUAGUCACCCUGCGCGUUCAUGCUCAUCAGCUCCUGGUUGUAGAGAGACAUUGGGGACUCCCACCAGAGUAUGUACACCUGGCCCUUGAAGACAGACAGCUGCACUUUCCCUUUCAUUCGCUCCUGGGACUUGGCGAAGCAGUGGUGGACAAAUUCACACUUAGGGCUGUGCCAGAAACUGGUGUGCACCAGCUCAGCAAAUUUCCAUCCCAGGUCUUGUCUGAUUUUGCACACUUCCUGGUCCAUGGCGAAGGCCCCGAUGUCCAAAUGAGUGUGGUAAAAGACGGUGCUUGCUGGGAUCUGGUAGAUAGCUCGGGACUUCAUUCCAAUGAAGUGGUUCUCCAUGAUGUCAAUACGGCCCACACCCUGCUUGCCCGAGACUUCGUUCAGGUACAUAAAGAGCUCCAAGGAGGUCUGAUGGGUGAUGCCAUCCUUGAUGUUGUUCACCUUCACGGGGACCCCUUUUUUGAACUUGAUCUCAAGAAUGUCAGGAGUGUUGGGGGCUCUGGCCGCCUCCUGGGUCUUCAUGUAGAGAACUGGAGGUGCUUGGUUCUUGGGGUUCUCCAAGAUUGCAGCCUCGUAGCUGAUGUGCAUGAGGUUCUCGUCCAUGCUUCACAGGUUCUUGGGAGUCACCAAGAUGGGAAUCCAGAGUUGCUUUGCGUAUUCCAUCAGAUCGUUUCGGACCUUGAUCCGGUUGUAGAACUCGGGCAUCCUCCAGGGAUCAAUGACCUUUAUCUGGGGGGCCAGCCAGUAGCAGUUGAGAUCAAACUGCACCUGAUUGAUCCCCUUUCCCGUGGUGCUAUGGGACACAUACUUGGUCCCCUCCCGCUGGACGAUUUCCACUUGUUUUCAGGGAAUGCAGGGCCUGGUGAGAGAGGUGCCCAGGAGGUAGCAGUCCUCAUACAGUGCACUGAACUGGAUGGCUGGCCAGAUGAACUUCUCUACAAACCCCCUGCUGACAUCCUCAAUGAACACCUUUUUGGCCCCAAGUUUCAGUGCCUUCUUCCUGGCUUCCUCAAAGUCUUCCUUCUGGCCAAUGCUGGCCAGGUAGUCAGUGACGUCAUUGUCUUGUUUCUUCAGCCACCUGAGGAUUCAGGAGGUGGCUAGGCCACCACUGUAGGCCAGAACCACAAAGCCUUUGCUGGACAUAGCAUCUGAGAUUGGGGGCAUGAGUUCAUGGCGUCUGGAAUCUGUCUUCGUGGUGCAGUAAACCACUCGGACCUAGACAGUGGUAGCAGGCGACAAAGCAGACGACAAUACUUUUCAUAGUCAC
rnacentral:lncRNA from 13 species